CCCUUAGAUGUUCUGGGCUGCACGCGCGCUACACUGACACACUCAGCGAGUCUCCUGGCCCGAGAGGGUUAGGUAAUCAUGUGAGCGUGUGUCGUGAUGGGGAUAGAAUAUUGUAAUUAUUGCUCUUCAACGAGGAAUUCCUAGUACGCGCGAGUCAGCAGCUCGCGCUGAUUACGUCCCUGCCCUUUGUACACACCGCCCGUCGCUUCUACCGAUGGGGUGAUCCGGUGAAUGAUUCGGACUUCCGCAGUGCUAGCUACUAGCUUUGUGGAAAGUCUUGUGAACCUUAUCACUUGGAGGAAGGAGAAGUCGUANCA
rnacentral:rRNA from 1 species